rfam:Faecalibacterium sp. CAG:82 genomic scaffold, scf61
GAGCAACUUAGGAUUUUAGGCUCCCCGGUGUGUCUCGAACCACGCCGGGCCAAACCCGCAGGAACUGGCGGUCCCUGCGCGGUCAAAAUUCAUUCCGCCGGAG